AUUGUUUGGUGGCGAUAGCGAAGAGGUCACACCCGUUCCCAUGCCGAACACGGAAGUUAAGCUCUUCAGCGCCGAUGGUAGUCGGGGGUCUCCCCCUGUGAGAGUAGGACGCCGCCAAGCAAG
rnacentral:rRNA from 1 species